GAUGAACGCUGGCGGCGUGCCUAACACAUGCAAGUCGAACGAAGCGCCUGGCCCCGACUUCUUCGGAACGAGGAGCCUUGCGACUGAGUGGCGGACGGGUGAGUAACGCGUGGGCAACCUGCCUUGCACUGGGGGAUAACAGCCAGAAAUGGCUGCUAAUACCGCAUAAGACCGAAGCGCCGCAUGGCGCGGCCGGACCAAACGGCCCCGGCGGUGACAAGAGUCGGGCCCGCGUCUGAUUAGGUAGUUGGCGGGGUAACGCCCACCAAGCCGACGAUCAGUAGCCGACCUGA
rnacentral:rRNA from 1 species